AUUGAACGCUGGCGGCAUGCUUUACACAUGCAAGUCGAACGGCAGCACGGGUGCUUGCACCUGGUGGCGAGUGGCGAACGGGUGAGUAAUGCAUCGGAACGUGCCCAUGAGUGGGGGAUAGCCCGGCGAAAGCCGGAUUAAUACCGCAUACGCCCUUAGGGGGAAAGCGGGGGAUCUUCGGACCUCGCGCUAUUGGAGCGGCCGAUGUCGGAUUAGCUAGUAGGUGAGGUAAAGGCUCACCUAGGCGACGAUCCGUAGCUGGUCUGAGAGGAUGAUCCGCCACACUGGGACUGAGACACGGCCCAGACUCCUACGGGAGGCAGCAGUGGGGAAUUUUGGACAAUGGGGGCAACCCUGAUCCAGCCAUGCCGCGUGAGUGAAGAAGGCCUCGGUUGUAAG
rnacentral:rRNA from 1 species